GACGAACGCUGGCGGCGUGCUUAACACAUGCAAGUCGAACGGAAAGGCCCUGCUUUUGUGGGGUGCUCGAGUGGCGAACGGGUGAGUAACACGUGAGUAACCUGCCCUUGACUUUGGGAUAACUUCAGUAAACUGGGGCUAAUACCGGAUAGGAGCGCCGGCUGCAUGGUGGGGGUUGGAAAGUUUCGGCGGUUGGGGAUGGACUCGCGGCUUAUCAGCUUGUUGGUGGGGUAGUGGCUUACCAAGGCUUUGACGGGUAGCCGGCCUGAGAGGGUGACCGGCCACAUUGGGACUGAGAUACGGCCCAGACUCCUACGGGAGGCAGCAGUGGGGAAUAUUGCACAAUGGGCGGAAGCCUGAUGCAGCAACGCCGCGUGCGGGAUGACGGCCUUCGGGUUGUAAACCGCUUUCGCCUGUGACGAAGCGUGAGUGACGGUAAUGGGUAAAGAAGCACCGGCUAACUACGUG
rnacentral:rRNA from 1 species